rnacentral:piRNA from 1 species
UUGUGCAUAAGAGAAAGAACAUGCGC